GAUGAACGCUGGCGGCGUGCCUAAUACAUGCAAGUCGAGCGAACGGACGAGAAGCUUGCUCCCCUGAUGUUAGCGGCGGACGGGUGAGUAACACGUGGAUAACCUACCUAUAAGACUGGGAUAACUUCGGGAAACCGUAGCUAAUACCGGAUAAUAUUUUGAACCGCAUGGUUCAAAAGUGAAAGACGGUCUUGCCGUCACUUAUAGAUGGAUCCGCGUUGCAUUAGCUAGUUGGUAAGGUAACGGCUUACCAAGGCAACGAUGCAUAGCCGACCUGAGAGGGUGAUCGGCCACACUGGAACUGAGACACGGUCCAGACUCCUACGGGAGGCAGCAGUAGGGAAUCUUGCGCAAUGGGCGAAAGCCUGACGGAGCAACGCCGCGUGGGUGAUGAAGGUCUUCGGAUCGUAAAACUCUGUUAUUGGGGAAGAACAUAUGUGUAAGUAACUGUGCACAUCUUGACGGUACCUAAUCAGAAAGCCACGGCUAACUACGUG
rnacentral:rRNA from 1 species